UUUCCGUAGGUGAACCUGCGGAAGGAUCAUUAUUGUAUAACCGAGGUGCGAGGGCUGUCGCUGACCCGAGAGGCCGUGCACGCCCGAGUGCCCUCACACACAUCCAUCUCACCCCUAUGUGCACCACCGCGUGGGUCCCCCUUUGGCUUGUUCGGAGGGGGGCUUACGUUUUCACACAAACUUUGUAUGCAGUGUAGAAUGUAUUUUUUGUUUUUGCGAUCACGCAAUCAAUACAACUUUCAACAACGGAUCUCUUGGCUCUC
rnacentral:misc_RNA from 1 species